GGAGUUUGAUCGUGGCUCAGGAUGAACGCUAGCGGGAGGCCUAACACAUGCAAGCCGCGGGGUAUUUUGAAGCUUGCUUCAAGAGAGACCGGCGUACGGGUGCGUAACGCGUAUGCAACUUACCUGUAUCACCGGGAUAGCCCGGGGAAACCCGGAUUAAUACCGGAUAACAUAUCAGUCAGCAUUGGUAGAUAUUAAAAGAUUAAUCGGAUAAAGAUAGGCAUGCGUAGGAAUAGUUAGUUGGUAAGGUA
rnacentral:rRNA from 1 species